UCCUCCUCUCCCCCCAGCCCCGUCCCCUCCCGACGCCGGUGGCCCUCGCGUGGCGCCGCUUGGCCGCGUUUCUCGACACAGCCGGGACGAUGUCAACAGCGCCCAGCCCUGCUUCUAUACGGCCCCCCUGGGAAAGCCUCCGGAGCGCGCGGCCCCGCGCUGGCCAGGGCCACCAGGCUCCCGGCUCCUCGGGCAAGGGCUCCAAUUGCUUCAGCUCCCACACAAUGGGAGGUGGCGGGGGGCUCUCACAGCCCCGAGGCCACGGGCUGCAUUUCCCAUCGGGGCCGCGGCCAGAGCUGCCACAUCACCUCCCAGCACAGCGGUGCUGGGCUCUUCUCUCCGGAGCGGCCCCGUGCCCAGGGACCCGCGGUGCAUGGCCUAGGAUUUUUGGUUUUCAUUUGGUUUCCAUUUGGGUUUCUGCUCUAUUCUUGCAGCACGCAGGCCGUUCUCCCCUUCUCUGGUGCCUCUCCCUUUUGCCUGCCCCGUGGCUUUUCACUGGGUGACCUGGAGCUCAUCCCUCACCGGCUCUGCCAGGCGCACGAAGCCUGUCCCAGCCCCUUGCUCCCCAGCCCCGGCACAGGGCGAAGCCCAGACCCACCUCUGCAGGUGGGAGGCCUGGGGAGGGACAGAGGACAGGGCACGGACCCCACUGCUCCCCUGCUGCCACCAGCCCUGGGAGCAGGUCCCUCCUGGGGGUGCUCUCCAUGUGAACCCCGACCCGUGUCCGUCCCACCCCCUGUCCUGCCGCCCUGCACCCAGCACGGGCCAUCGGUCCCCGCUCGGAGGGAAGCGGGGCAGGGGUGCAGCACCCUCUGCCCUCCCUGCACCCCUCCUGUGCCUUCUCUGGCAUUUUUCAGCAUCUCCUGGAAGAGAUGAGCACGCACACACUUCUCCAGGGCCCCUACACUUACCUGGGGUGAGAAGUCCCUGAUCCCCACCCAGUUUGGGCUCCAUCACCCUAUAUUCUACACGUCCCUUAUCUGCUCCCCAGCCUGCUUGCCCCCAGCCCCAGCCGGAGGCACGCCCUGCACCCAAGGGGCGAGGAGCACGG
rnacentral:lncRNA from 1 species